GUGGGGAAUAUUGGGCAAUGGGGGGAACCCUGACCCAGCGACGCCGCGUGGGUGAAGAAAUCCUUCGGGAUGUAAAGCCCUGUUGUAUGGGAAGAGCGGAAGACGGUACCAUACGAGGAAGCCCCGGCAAACUACGUGCCAGCAGCCGCGGUAAUACGUAGGGGGCAAGCGUUGUCCGGAAUUACUGGGCGUAAAGCGCACGCAGGCUGAAUUAUAAGUCGGUAGUAAAAGGCGGGGGCUCAACUUACGUAUAUCUAUCGAUACUGUAAAUCUAGAGUAUGUGAGAGGGAAGCGGAAGUCCCGGUGUAGCGGUGAAAUGCGUAGAUAUCGGGAGGAACACCAGUGGCGAAGGCGGCUUCCUGGCACAAUACUGACGCUCAUGUGCGAAAGCUAGGGCAGCGAACGGGAUUAGAUACCCCAGUAGUCC
rnacentral:rRNA from 1 species